rnacentral:tRNA from 1 species
GGGGAUUUAGCUCAAUAGUAGAGUGCUUGCCUAGCAAGUGUGAAGGUCUGAGUUUGAUUCUCAGCAACGUUA